AAUAAAAACAGAAUGUAAUGAUUUUCAAAUCUCAUCAACCCAUAUUUUUUCCUAAUAGAACAUCAACAACAUAUCAGACGUUGAGACUUUUACAUU